GUGCUUGCUUCGGCAGCACAUAUACUAAAACUGGAAUGAUACAAAGAUUAGCAUGGCCCCCUGCACAAGGAUGAUACACAAAUUCGUGAAGCGUUCCAUAUUUUU
rnacentral:snRNA from 1 species